ensembl:lncRNA
CUCGGGUCCUGGCCGGUAAUAAACUCCUGUGUGGAUUUAAUAUUGGUCUCUGGUUGGUUCUCUCUCACUGGGUACAACAGUUUCCAUCAGGGGAGCUCUAAUCUUCACUGUGAGCGACACUUCCUGGCUCCAAUGUGGAUCCUUCAGCUUGGCGGCAGAAAUCCUUCAUCUCACCAGCGUAGAUUUUCUGGCUUCCACCACUGGCCUUUGGACCUUCCAGGCAGAAUUUACAGAUGGUUCCUGAAGAUUUCCUUCCCUAAUCCUAGAAAGUAUGAACAUAAUGAGAUAUUCCUCCCAUGCUUGGCAGACGAGGAAAUCAGAAUUCAGAGCAUGAGGAGAUUCCACACACUUGUUUCCUUGGGGAUGUCAAAGAAUGGGGGCUUCUGGGAGCCAAGAGUGAGUGCUGGGCAAUAACCAUCAAUAAAGCUGUGACCUCCGUCCUACAACCACACACAGCUGGAUUCAGUCAACAACCUGGACCAGUUUGGCUGCAAAACGUUCAGAUAAGUGCUCAGCCUGGCUCAUAUGGUG